ACGAUACUUGUAUUUUUUUUACCUUCAUUAUUAUUUUCUUUCGUCGUUGAGUCACUAAAACACUGCAGUUUAAAUUAUGAGAAAUAUAAUAUUCUCGCGAGUCAUUGAAGGCUUGAUACAACAUAUCUGCCAAGGGCACAGAGUGCACGUUAUUUAGUACGAAAAAUAAAUGAAGAUUAAACUGAAUGUGUCAAAUAGAUACUUUGGAGCUGCUGAUUAAAUUGAUCCACUCGUUUUACACGUUAAGAGCCCAUUGAACGACGAAGAAGACGAUGAAGAUAGUGAUGGAGAAAAUGAUGAACCACAAAAAACAAAGAUCCUACCAGCCAGCCAAGAACCACCAACAAAA